UACAGAGGGUGGCAAGCGUUGUUCGGAAUUAUUGGGCGUAAAAGGGCGCGUAGGCGGUGCGGUAAGUCUGUAGGUGAAAUCUCUGGGCUCAACUCAGAGUCUGCUGCAGAAACUGCCGUGCUUGAGUGUGGGAGAGGUGAGUGGAAUUCCCGGUGUAGUGGUGAAAUGCGUAGAUAUCUGGAGGAACACCGGUGGCGAAGGCGGCAUCCUGGACCGGCAGUUGAACGCUGAGGAGCGAAAAGCCAGGGGAGCAAACGGG
rnacentral:rRNA from 1 species